CAUUAUGCUUCCAAUAUCUUCCCAGGCGGUAGUACCUCCCUGUUUGGUAGCUGCCUACUACCUACUACCUACUAGGAUGAUUACGUGUCAUGGUAAAUUGUGUGUAAAAUAUUUGAUAUAUUUUUUGGUGAAUAAAACUGAUACUUAAUACCUAAAAUUAUGGCCUACAAUGUAUGAAUGUUUAACUAUUUUUACAGAUUACUGUAAUAAUUGUUUUUUAUUAAUGCUGUUUAAGCUUGCAGUUCACCGGUGCACAGGUGUGUUUCUGGGAGUCAUGGCUGGGCAUUGGUCUAACAGGACGUCUGGGUCAGUCAGUGGUGGACACCUUCUCUAAUAUGGCUUAGUUAAGUAGUUAUUAUAUUUUCAGUGUUGCUCUAUUAUUAUGUAUUGUGUGUAAAGUGCAUCCAAUUACUGUGUUAUAAUGUGGUUUGUGGUUUAUAUACUAGGUACAUAUUAAUUGUUUAUUAAGGAUGGAAAACCAGGUGGAGUUUAACUUGGUAAGGAGUCAUUACCUACGAUGGUUUGUCCAAUGCUAAAUAUUUCCAAAUUUUAUCCAUCCAUUAUUUAACAUGCACAUUUAUUAUUGAAAACUUGUGUUUUUAAAUAGUAUUUAAAUAUUU